rnacentral:tRNA from 1 species
UCUUAAAAGGUGUUUUUUGCACAUGAAUAUUUGAAAUUCAAGGAAUUAAUAA